rnacentral:rRNA from 1 species
AUUAUUUAUUUAAUAGAAAUAACUUAUUUUUUUUAGUAAAUUUUAUUGAAAUAAUAUUUAUUUAAUUAUAGCUUAUAGUACUGUGAAGGAAUAUUUAUAAUUUUGUUUAAGCAUACUUUUUUUGUUGUACCUUUUGUAUCAGGGUUUAUUAAAAUUAUAAUAAUUAUUAUUGUUAUUCCCGAAAUUAAAAGAUUUAUAUAUAAAUGUAAGUUUACGUUUUAUAGUAAUUUUUAAUUUAUAUAUAGGGGAUAUAUUCUUUUCAAUUUUAAAUAUCUGGUUUCUUAAUAAAUUAAUUUAAUUGAGGUGUUGUUUAUGUUAUUUUAUUAUUUUAUUUUAUAUAAUACUAUACACUAAUAACAUGGGGGAUAAGCUCUUUGUUAAUUUUAUAAUUAAUUUUAUUUUUAUAAAUUUUGUAGGCUUUAUAACAGCCAUCAUUUUAUUUCGUUAUAGUUAAUUUUAUGUUUUUAUUUAUUUAAUAUUAAUUUAAAUUCUUAUUAAGAUUUAAUAUUUAAUAAUUCUUUUUUAUUAAUAAUGAUAGAAUUAGUAGUUUUGAAAAUUUAAAUUUAGGAAUUCGGCAAAAUUAACUUUCGCCUGUUUAACAAAAACAUGUCCUGAAGAUUUUUAAUUUUAGGUCUGACCUGCCCAAUGAUUAAUUUUAAAUGGCUGCAGAAUUUUUACUGUACAAAGGUAGCAUAAUCAUUUGUCUUUUAAUUGAAGGCUAGAAUGAAUGGUUUGACGAGAAGUUAACUUUCUUAAUUUAAAUUUUAUGAAUUUGAUUUUUUAGUUAAAAAGCUAAAAUUUGUUUACAAGACGAGAAGACCCUAUAGAAUUUUAUUAUGAAUUGGAUUUUAGUUGUUUUGGUUGUUUAUUUUUGGUUUUAAUUUUAUUUAUAAUUUUGUUGGGGCGACAGUGAAAAUUAAAUAACUUUCAUUAUUAAGUUUUCAUUAAUUAAUGUAUUUUUUGAUCCCUUAUUAAUAAGGAUUAUAAGAUUAAAUUACCUUAGGGAUAACAGCGUAAUUUUUCCGGAGAGUUCAUAUCUAUGGAUAAAGUUUGCGACCUCGAUGUUGGAUUAAAGAAAGUUUGUGAUGCAGCAGUUUCAUAACUAAGUCUGUUCGACUUUUAAAUCUUUACAUGAUCUGAGUUCAGACCGGCGUGAGCCAGGUUGGUUUCUAUCUGUAAAUUUUAUUUUUAUAAUUUAGUACGAAAGGACCAAUUAUAAGUAAUAUUUAUUUA